GGAUCACGCUGAUCCCACUUCGUUCGGUUCACAUCAAUUUUACGCGCCGCUGGAGCCGGCAUAAUUUUCCGUGUGAACGCGGACUCGGGCCCCUGUUCCUGUUUAGAGCCGUAGAAGGAGUCGCGAGGUGCCCGCCGGGGCUGAGGCCGCCGGGGUGGGCGGGGAGCACGUCCCUCCGAGCCCCGAGGGGACUGUGAUUGCCAUUUAACUCCGAAGGGAGGCCGCCUCCCCCCAGAGUGAUACUAACAGGGAAAUGAAGAUGGGACAUACAAACUUUGGUGAAUAAAGGAUUCUACCAUACACAAGCAAAUACAUGAAACUGGAUGCAACAAUACCAGGAGGCAUGGGAGAGGAGUAGGCAUUGUUCUCAGGAGGGCUUCUAUCCUUUCCACAGGGAAAAUAAAGGGAGGAAACUAAUGCCAAGAUACAGCCCAGUAUUGAGCACUUGGCACUAGACUGAGCUGAGUCAAAUGUUUAAAACUCCACUCAAUGGCCAUGUG
rnacentral:lncRNA from 1 species